rnacentral:rRNA from 1 species
GGAAAUCUAGAGCUAAUACAUGCACCUCAGAAAGUGGUUCGCCAUUUUCAUUGCAUUUAUUAGAGAGAUACCAACCGUGAAAGCAAUUUCACGUGGUGAAUCUAGAUAACUGUGCAGAUCGUAUGGCCUUGAGCUGACGACAUUUCGAUUGAAUUUCUGCCCUAUCAACUCGUUGAAAGUGUAGUGUACUUUCAAGGUGUUUACGGGUAACGGGGAAUCAGGGUUCGAUUCCGGAGAGGGAGCCUGAGAAACGGCUACCACAUCCAAGGAAGGCAGCAGGCGCGCAAAUUACCCAAUCCAGACAAUGGGAGGUGGUGACGAAAAGUACUGGAUGGCAGCCUUUGGUUGUCAAUCCGGAAUGAAAACAAUUUAAGCAAUUGAAUUGAGUAACGACUGGAGGGCAAGUCUGGUGCCAGCAGCCGCGGUAAUUCCAGCUCCAGUGGCGUAUCUCAAAGUUGCUGCGCUUAAAACGCUCGUAGUUGGAUCACAGACUGCGUUUCGGUGGAUUUAUACAAUGUGCAUUGUAUCUCUUCACUCGGAUAAUAUGUCCUCAUAUUACGCUGGGGUUGAGGUGGCGCAUUGUAUGGGUCAUAAGCGGAGACGUAGUAAUUGCACGUGAGGAUGGCAGUUGAUCUUGAGUGUAUCGACAGUCGUGUCUCACGGGGUGUGCCUUGAGUAAAUCAGAGUGCUUAAAGCAGGCGAAAGCUUGAAUGUUGAUAGCAUGGAACGAACAAUAGUGUAUGGUGUGUAUUGAAUCAAGUGUAGUGCGCAAGCAUUAGACUACAAUACACGACACCGACCACCAAUAUCGGAUGUUGGUUCCGUAUUGGGGUACUGAUUAAGAGGAGCGGUUGGGGGCAUUGGUAUUUGGCAGCGAGAGGUGAAAUUCUUGGACCUGCCAAGGACUAACAAAUGCGAAGGCAUCUGUCCAGACCGUAUCCAUUAAUCAAGAACGAUAGUGAGAGGUUCGAAGACGAUCAGAUACCGUCCUAGUUCUCACCAUAAACUAUGCCGACCCGGGAUGAGUCUGGAGCUACAUGUAGACGCUCGAGGUUGGUCCCCCUGGGAAACCUUAAGUUUUUCGGUUGCGGGGGGAGUAUGGUCGCAAGGCUGAAACUUAAAGGAAUUGACGGAAGGGCACCACCAGGGGUGGAGCCUGCGGCUUAAUUUGACUCAACACGGGAAAACUUACUUGAUCCGGACAUCAGUAGGAUAGACAGACUAAUAUCUCUCUUUAUUUGGUGAUUGGUGGUGCAUGGCCGUUCUUAGUUCGUGGAGUGAUCUGUCAGGUUUAUUCCGGUAACGAACGAGACCACUGUCUUCAUUUGACGAGCCAGAGAAGGCAUCAGGUGUGUUAUUUUGGCAACAAAAUUAACACAGUUGGUGUUGUAGGCAAGGAGCGGGCGAAAUUGAGUUGUUGAUGAAGUAGCAAUAUGGAUUCAAUAACGAGAUCGAGUCAAGCUCAUUUCCCUCUGGCCAAACAGUGUAUAGUUGUAAAAGACUGUACGUUGUAUCAUGGAGAGACAACGGAACAUAUCAAAAUCCGAGGAAGUGUGGCUAUAACAGGUCUGUGAUGCCCUUAGAUGUUCAGGGCUGCACGCGCGCUACAAUGGCGAUGACAACGAGUUUCUGGAUUGAAAAAUUCGGGUAACCUUGUAAUCAUCGCCGUGAUGGGGACUGACGUUUGUAAAUACGUCACGAAAGAGGAAUCCCUAGUACACGUGAUUCAUGAAAUCGCGUGGAUUUAGUCCCUGCCCUUUGUACACACCGCCCGUCGCUACUACCGAGUGAAUGGUGUCAUAAUGCCUUGGGAGCGGAU